rnacentral:tRNA from 1 species
GACAGUCUGGCGGAAAUGGUAGACGCGCCGGCCUCGCAAGCUGGUGGGCCAACGGCCCGUGUGGGUUCGAGUCCCGCGAUUUUCU